rnacentral:rRNA from 1 species
AUUGAACGCUGGCGGCAGGCUUAACACAUGCAAGUCGAGCGGAGCGGCGGACGGGGAAGUAAUGCCUAGGAAUCUGCCUGGUAGUGGGGGAUAACGAUAGGAAAUGGGCGCUAAUACUGCUAAUUAUCAGAUGAGCUUAGGUCGGAUUAGCUAGUUGGUGGGGUAAAGGCCUACCAAGGCGACGCUCCGUAACUGGUCUGAGAGGAUGAUCAGUCACACUGGAACUGAGACACGGUCCAGACUCCUACGGGAGGCAGCAGUGGGGAAUAUUGGACAAUGGGCGAAAGCCUGAUCCAGCCAUGCCGCGUGUGUGAAGAAGGUCUUCGGGUUGUAAAGCACUUUAAGUUGGGAGGCGUUACCAACAGAAUAAGCACCGGCUAACUUCGUGCCAGCAGCCGCGGUAAUAC